ACGCUAGCUACAGGCUUAACACAUGCAAGUCGAGGGGCAGCAUGAACUUAGCUUGCUAAGUUUGAUGGCGACCGGCGCACGGGUGAGUAACACGUAUCCAACCUGCCGAUGACUCGGGGAUAGCCUUUCGAAAGAAGGAUUAAUACCCGAUGGCAUAGUUCUUCCGCAUGGUAGAACUAUUAAAGAAUUUCGGUCAUCGAUGGGGAUGCGUUCCAUUAGGUUGUUGGCGGGGUAACGGCCCACCAAGCCUUCGAUGGAUAGGGGUUCUGAGAGGAAGGUCCCCCACAUUGGAACUGAGACACGGUCCAAACUCCUACGGGAGGCAGCAGUGAGGAAUAUUGGUCAAUGGACGAGAGUCUGAACCAGCCAAGUAGCGUGAAGGAUGACUGCCCUAUGGGUUGUAAACUUCUUUUAUACGGGAAUAAAGUGAGGCACGUGUGCCUUUUUGUAUGUACCGUAUGAAUAAGGAUCGGCUAACUCCGUGCCAGCAGCCGCGGUAAUACGGAGGAUCCGAGCGUUAUCCGGAUUUAUUGGGUUUAAAGGGAGCGUAGGCGGACGCUUAAGUCAGUUGUGAAAGUUUGCGGCUCAACCGUAAAAUUGCAGUUGAUACUGGGUGUCUUGAGUACAGUAGAGGCAGGCGGAAUUCGUGGUGUAGCGGUGAAAUGCUUAGAUAUCACGAAGAACUCCGAUUG
rnacentral:rRNA from 1 species